UCUCACUCUUCCAAGCCAGUUUGUCUGACA
rnacentral:piRNA from 1 species